CACACGCGCACACACACAACCCUCCGCCGGCGACGCCGCGCCUCCGCCGAGCUCCGCCCUCCACCGAACGUUUAAGCUCUUCCUUGUCUCCCUCUCUGUCUCAACACUUCUCUCCCCCUACACAUGCACACAUACAUUCAUCUCUGUAUAGUGGCUGUCCCGCCGAUUCUGGCACCGCCGUCGCUGGACUUCGGAUCUCUUGAAUAGUCUUGUCUAUCCUCUACCUUUUGUUACGAUCAUUAUUGUGCAUUGGUAAUCUUCCCUCUAGAAGCUACUGCCCAAGAACCUUUACAAGGAACAGUAGAAGUUGAGAAAAAAAGGUCAUGGGAGUCUGAAAUGAGGAGCUUGAUAAUUGAUUAAAGAGCUCUCCUUCUCGUUUGUUGUUGGUACCCUUCAUUCCUGCUUGUAUGAGAUUUAGUAAUUUUUCUAGAUAAUCAUAAUUACUUCCACAAUGUGUCUUGUGUGGCAGCAUGUCUCGUGGUUAUCCUCUUUGUGUUGACAUACUAUCUUACCUCACAAAAAGUAGACGGGGGAAGACAACUGCUACUAGCUUUGAAAUCGUGAUUAAUUUAAUUGAUUUCUUACUGUGUUUUUAAAUCGUGAAUUUUUUUCGAUUCACUUAUUUUUUAUGUUUAUGAAUUGUGAAAAGACAUUUAGAUAUACAUGGAGAAAAAAAGUUCUAUUUCCAAUUAUAGAUUUUUUAAUAGGAGUAGUUUUUAAUAUGAAUACUCAUACUCCAGAACAGCGCAUAAUUGAAAAUCAUCUUACUUAAACUCAAAUGUACUACUACUACUUUUUUUAAAAUAUUAGUACAUUUUUUGUUAAUUUGUUCGACCCCACCAUAAAUAUUUUCUGGAUCCGUCAUUGCUUAUGUUUAUUUCCUUGUUAGUUCACAUUGUUUUUUGGGAUCGGAAUAGCUGAAUCUUUUAAUAGGUAGUGUGGUUUAUCUUGCCCAGAUUAUCUUGCUUGGUAUCAUUUAUUUGGUUUUGAGUUCUCAAAGCUAAAUUUUCUUAUGUUUGUUUGCUAGUUAGUUCACAUUCUUUUAAACACGCAUGGAUGCAUUUGGAGUUGAUGAUUAUCUUAAUAGAUUUUUCAUGCUGCCAAUAAAUUUGUUGCAGGAAACAACUACUAAAACAUUGUACAAGGCCCUUUUCUAAUUUUUUCAAUGCAGAAUAUGCAGGCAGUCACCCUUCCCUAAUAAUGUUGGCUCAAAAAUUUCCACUUAAUUUUAAUCUCAUGUUGGUUCUCCUUUUAAAUAUACAGAAGCUCCUAGAUGAAAUAAUGGAGCAUAUCUGCAAAGUUGUGGGCAAUGUCAUGAAAAUUUGAUGCAGUACUAUUGCAUUAUUCUUGUUUUAACUUAGUGCUAAAAUGGUCACAUAUUCUCAACUUUGUCGAGUGACAAUCUGCCACAGUCAUGAAUCCUGUAUGAGAUUAAAAAAAAUCAACACCUUCACAACUACUUAUCAAUUUACGGUGGUUUCCUUCAUAUUUACCAUCUUGCUCGUGAUAAUAAAAUUUAUGUUUUGUUUGAUACUAUUUAAAUUUUGGAAUUGUUGUAUACACACUAUUUACAUCUACAAAAUUCGCAAAAUAGUGUUCGUGAGCAGAUUUAGUUGAAGGAUUAGUUGAUAAGGAGAUGGCAGGUCGUUACGAUCAGAAUUCAUUUGCUGUGUAUAGAAGAAAUUCGCCAGGUCCAGGAAAAGAAGGAGGCAAUCACACGCCCGAGGA